GCUGAUGCGUUGUUGGGUAGGGGAGCGUUCUGUAAGCCUGCGAAGGUGUGUCGUGAGGCAUGCUGGAGGUAUCAGAAGUGCGAAUGCUGACAUAAGUAACGAUAAAGCGGGUGAAAAGCCCGCUCGCCGGAAGACCAAGGGUUCCUGUCCAACGUUAAUCGGGGCAGGGUGAGUCGACCCCUAAGGCGAGGCCGAAAGGCGUAGUCGAUGGGAAACGGGUUAAUAUUCCCGUACUUGGUGUUACUGCGAAGGGGGGACGGAGAAGGCUAUGUUGGCCGGGCGACGGUUGUCCCGGUUUAAGCGUGUAGGUGUGUGUUCCAGGUAAAUCCGGUUCACUUUAACACUGAGGCGUGACGACGAGGCACUACGGUGCUGAAGCAACAAAUGCCCUGCUUCCAGGAAAAGCCUCUAAGCAUCAGGUAACAUCAAAUCGUACCCCAAACCGACACAGGUGGUCAGGUAGAGAAUACCAAGGCGCUUGAGAGAACUCGGGUGAAGGAACUAGGCAAAAUGGUGCCGUAACUUCGGGAGAAGGCACGCUGACACGUAGGUGAAGUGAUUUACUCAUGGAGCUGAAGUCAGUCGAAGAUACCAGCUGGCUGCAACUGUUUAUUAAAAACACAGCACUGUGCAAACACGAAAGUGGACGUAUACGGUGUGACGCCUGCCCGGUGCCGGAAGGUUAAUUGAUGGGGUCAGCGCAAGCGAAGCUCCUGAUCGAAGCCCCGGUAAACGGCGGCCGUAACUAUAACGGUCCUAAGGUAGCGAAAUUCCUUGUCGGGUAAGUUCCGACCUGCACGAAUGGCGUAAUGAUGGCCAGGCUGUCUCCACCCGAGACUCAGUGAAAUUGAACUCGCUGUGAAGAUGCAGUGUACCCGCGGCAAGACGGAAAGACCCCGUGAACCUUUACUAUAGCUUGACACUGAACAUUGAGCCUUGAUGUGUAG
rnacentral:rRNA from 1 species